UACGGAGGGUGCAAGCGUUAUCCGGAUUCACUGGGUUUAAAGGGUGCGUAGGCGGGUUGGUAAGUCCGUGGUGAAAUCCCCAAGCUUAACUUGGGAACUGCCGUGGAUACUAUCAAUCUUGAAUAUCGUGGAGGUAAGCGGAAUAUGUCAUGUAGCGGUGAAAUGCUUAGAUAUGACAUAGAACACCGAUUGCGAAGGCAGCUCGCUACACCUAUAUUGACUCUGAGGCACGAAAGCGUGGGGAUCAAACAGG
rnacentral:rRNA from 1 species